rnacentral:rRNA from 1 species
GAUGAACGCUGGCGGCGUGCCUAAUACAUGCAAGUCGAGCGAACAGACGAGGAGCUUGCUCCUCUGACGUUAGCGGCGGACGGGUGAGUAACACGUGGAUAACCUACCUAUAAGACUGGGAUAACUUCGGGAAACCGGAGCUAAUACCGGAUAAUAUAUUGAACCGCAUGGUCAAUAGUGAAAGACGGUUUUGCUGUCACUUAUAGAUGGAUCCGCGCCGCAUUAGCUAGUUGGUAAGGUAACGGCUUACCAAGGCAACGAUGCGUAGCCGACCUGAGAGGGUGAUCGGCCACACUGGAACUGAGACACGGUCCAGACUCCUACGGGAGGCAGCAGUAGGGAAUCUUCCGCAAUGGGCGAAAGCCUGACGGAGCAACGCCGCGUGAGUGAUGAAGGUCUUCGGAUCGUAAAACUCUGUUAUUAGGGAAGAACAAAUGUGUAAGUAACUAUGCACGUCUUGACGGUACCUAAUCAGAAAGCCACGGCUAACUACGUG